rnacentral:rRNA from 1 species
AUGUCUUGUCAGUUUCGAGCUGGUGUUCCCACCAUCCUUCUUCAAUAUCAUGACGCGCGUCCUAGUUCAUCUAGUCGACAAGAUUGUCAUUCUGGGCCCGUAUUUCUACACAAUAUGUUCCCCUUUGAGAGGUUCAUGGGAGUCCUAAAGAAAUAUGUCUGUAACCGCGCUAGGCCAGAAGGAAGCAUCUCCAUGGGCCAUCAAACAGAGGAUGUCAUUGGGUUUUGUGUUGACUUCAUUCCUAGCCUUAAGAAGAUAGGUCUCCCUAUAUCGCGGUAUGAGGGGAGACUGACUGGAAAAGGCACGUUGGCAGGGGCCUCAAUAAUAUGCAGGGAUGGAUAUUCUUGGUCUCAAGCACACUACACAGUUCUAUAG